CACCUCAAUGCCAAGACCAGGGUGCGAGGGCUUAUUGAGAUCAUCUCCAAUGCAGCAGAGUACGACAUUCCCAUCCGGCACCGUGAAGACAACUUCCUGAGGCAGUUGGCUCAGAAGGUCCCCCACAAGCUGAAUAACCCUAAGUUCAAUGAUCCACACAUCAAGGCCAACCUGCUCCUGCAGGCUUGCCUGUCCCGCAUGCAGCUGAGUGCUGAGUUGCAGUCAGAUACGGAGGAAAUCCUUAGUAAGGCAAUCCGGCUUAUUCAGGCCUGCGUGGAUAUCCUCUCCCGCAAUGGGUGGCUCAGCUCUGCUGUGGCAGCUUUGGAACUGGCCCAGAUGGUCACUCAAGCCAUGUGGUCCCAGGACUCAUACCUGAAGCAGCUGCCACACCUCACCUCUGAGCAUAUCAAACGUUGCACAGACAAGGGAGUGGAGAGUGUUUCGACAUCAUGGAGAUGGAGGAUGAAGAAUGGAACGCAUUGCUUCAGCUGACUGACAACCAGAUUACAGAUGUGGCUCGCUUUUGUAACCGCUACCCUAAUAUCGCACUAUCUUAUGAGGUGGUAGAUAAGGACAGCAUCCGCAGUGGCAGGCCAGUGAUGGUGCUGGUGCAGCUGCAGCGAGAGGAGGAAGUCACAGGCCCCGUCAUUGUGCCUCUCUUCCCACAGAAACGUGAAGAUGGCUGGUGAGUGGUGAUUGGAGACGCCAAGUCCAGUAGCCUCAUCUCCAUCAAGAGGCUGGCCCUGCAGCACAAGGCCAAGGUGAAGUUGGACUUUGUGGCCCCAGCCACUGGUGCCCACAACUACACUCUGUACUUCAUGAGUGACGCUUACAUGGGACGUGACCAGGAGUACAAAUUCAGUGUGGAUGUGAAAGAAGCCGAGAUGGACAGUGAUUCAGACUGAGUCCUGAGGCAUUUACUCUUGGGUAAAGGAGAGUUGAGCCUGAAUUAGGAAUGUGUACAUUGUAGGGAUCCCGGUGGUUAUGGGGACCAGGUCUGUGGGCCCGACAUCUGGCCAGCCAGGGCUAGUGCUGUCCCCGCCC